GGACUACCCGGGUAUCUAAUCCUGUUUGCUCCCCACGCUCUCGCGCCUCAGUGUCAGUAUCAUGCCAGGUAGCCGCCUUCGCCACUGGUGUUCCUUCCGAUAUCUACGCAUUUCACCGCUACACCGGAAAUUCCACUACCCUCUCAUGUACUCCAGUUACCCAGUAUAAGAUGCAGUUCCCAGGUUGAGCCCGGGGCUUUCACAUCUCACUUAAAUAACCACCUACGCGCCCUUUACGCCCAGUAAAUCCGAUUAACGCUUGCACCCUCUGUAUUACCGCGGCUGCUGGCAC
rnacentral:rRNA from 1 species